CCCAGGCCGGACGUCCCGUAGCCCUGGGUGGAGAGGGACGCCGGGGACUGGUUCAGAUGGCUUGUGACCGCGUUUGUGCUCAUCGGACUGAGAGUUGAGCCAGGGCCUGACAACUGGUGGUGCAUGGGAGCGAGAGCCAGCCAGUCUGCUCCCAUCAGCCUCAUACGGGCCUGCACCAAAAUUCACCCACAAUAUUUACAAGGGGAGUUCCCAACCGAGAGACACCGAGCAGCCGAGGACUUAAGCAAGGCACCGGAGCUGCAGUGUGCACGCACCCAGGGAUGAGGAGAAAUUAAGGGGGAGGAAAAAGGCAAAUAGGCCGGUGCUGCUGAUGGAGACUUUCACCUGACAAGAAGAAGAUGACAGAAGAAAAAUGUGAAGAUUUCGAUCAGAGGAAGCGGCUGAGUGGAUCAUAAUAAAGCUCCGGAUUUCUUUUAACAAGCAAACUGCAGAGGGAAAGUUUUGCUGCCUGCUUUGAGAGGAAAGGAGCAGCAACACGUUCAGGAGUUCGCCAACAAACAAACGGAUGCAAUUAAACGCACUCGCCUUCAGAUCAUCAAUGAGGAGAGCAAAGUCAAGACUGGUGGAAGAGGCGACAAGGACGAAUGGAAGACGGGAGAAGACUCUGCUGCCUCAAGGUUAAACUUGAACUGUGUUCAGAGCCUGACUUCACACAAUCUGGAUACUUCUGCAAACACACAUCACUGGCUGUUUCUUUAUAUUGAGCAUCCUCAUUUUACAACCUGAUAUAACUCUUAAUUGAUGUUGUAUGGUAAUGUUUCCUCUGUUUCUUUCUGCCACCGCACUGUUUUGGAGUGAUUAAAAAAUAAUUUGCAAAUAAAGACUAUCAUUG